CUCUGUACUACCUAGUUAAGCCUGGCUUCCUGUCAAAGCAGUUUGCUAUAUCUCCAUAGUCCUGGCUCAGUUGGAAGAAGAUCAACUAUAAUUGAGUUAUGACAAGGAAACAAUUACUAGAUCAACAGCCUUUGUCUGAUCAAGAAGCUACUACAGAAUUGGACUAGGAUUUGAGGUGGUCUUAAAAACAUCUUGGAUUGCUCAGGUUCUGCUCAUUUCAGGACUACAGAAUCAAAGGGUGCCUGGGUGGCUCAGUCAGGAAACAUUCUUAAACUCUACAUGCAUAAAAGCAAGUGGAAUUCUUCAUAAAGUAUCGGGUGGGACUCCAGAAUCUGAAUUUUCAUAAGUACCCAGGUAUAGUUUAUCGUGGACUGUGCUAAUCUGGCCCCAUGAACUCUUAUUUCUACAAGUAUCUGAACUAAGCUAAGCUUCUCAGCUGUGACUCCACCAAGGAAGCGGAUGCAUUUGCCAGUUAUCCAACCCUGAUCCUUUUGAACACAAGCUUCCUUUGUGGCUGUCAUGAUGCUUUCCAGACAGUGCCACACGUACAGGUAGAGUCUCUCCUCCUCAGAUCUAUCUACUGCUGCAUCGGUCUCAUGAAAGAAGAAAGAAAUAUAGGAAUCUACAAGGAAAAAGGAGUCUAAGAAGAGGGCAGCUCUAUCUCUUAAUGAUUUCCUCUUUGGACAUGAGAUAAGAGGACAGUAUGUAUGUGUAGGAGCAGGUUCACAGACCUACCCAUACCUAAAUAUUUAAAUGACCCAAAAUGGGAAAACACAAGAUGCCUCAAAUGCACUGAACCUAACUGAGAUAACGAGGACCUGGAUCUCAGACCUGAACCUCCAACUGAGCAUGAUGAGGUAUUAUGAUUUCAUUCAUCCCCGAUAGUGUUGGAUUUCAAAAUUAAAGCCUGUCUGACUAAAAAUGAGAAGAGACUGUAUUUCAAUGGUUCUCCAUUCUCUUUGUCCUAGGAGCAUGAGAAUGAGGAAGAAGAGCAAUUUAAACGUGUGAAUCCACUGCUUUUAAUAUUGCAUGUAACCUGGGAACUGAAGUUCUGGAAGUAAAUUAUAACAAGAGAGGCUUCAAUGUGGAAUAUGAAAGGAAACAGAAUUAAUCUCCGGAGAGCAGUUCUCACCAUUUAGCAGGCUUGCCGGCCUGGACCCAGAUAAUAUACAGCGAGCUCUGUUAUAGAGGCAGUAUGCAACACGAGCAGUAAAAGUGACCCCCUCAAACUCCUUCCCUGGGAACUACAUUCAGCAUUUCCGCAUCAAGUGGCUGUAGCUUUGAACUGUGUGAGCAUCUGUGUUUUACAUUGGUUUGAGUGUCCAUCAGCAAAAUAUGUCUUAAGGACGGCAAGUCCUAUGCAGAAACUAGAGGAAAAGGGGGAGAGUGUUGUGAAAAGAAGCAUUUUGGAAAAUUAUCCAGAAGGGGUCAACAAGGUAAAUGAAGGACCGUGGAAACCAAUUAGGAGGAUACUGCAGAAAUGAGACACCAAGGAGCAAGAGCCAAGUGUCAGAACCCAGUGAACAAUGUGGUUCUCCAAAAGCAGGAAUGCUGAGGACUACUGGAUGUCAAUGCUGCAAAGCCUUCUUUCUGCCCCACCCUCCCAAUUACACAAAAGUACAACCUCCUGUUUGUUAGAAUUGUCUUCCUCCACUCCUGAACACAAGCCCCUUUCCUCCUUGAGGGAUGCAGGCUUGAUUGUGUGCGUUUGUCAACAUAUUCAUCAAUGAAAUGUUUAUAAGUUCUCUACAAAUAUUAUCUGGUCAAUUCUGAAAAUACUUCAGAUGGGUUUUCAUCUGAGCAUGCUUUAUAAGGGUUCUUCUAUGAUCCAAAGCAAUUUUCAGACAUCCUCAUCACUGAUCAAAUCUGGGGUAAAUUUCCAGUCUAUUCCAUCACACAUUUACAGUCUAUAGGUUAGGCCUGAUUUUCACAGUAUGGGGGAAGAUUGUACACAAUUGAGCCACUUUGGAAAGCUUUUAUAGUUUUUUUUUUUUUUUUUGUACCAAAACAGGAGGUCACUGUUAGCGAAUGACUUUUAUCAAUGGCAUUCUCGCUUCUCUGUUACCACAACAGGACCCUACAUAUUUUUUCAAUAAUAGUUUUUUUCAUAAUUUGUUGUAUAAGUUUUUUUGGUAUAAAUAAUAUUGUAAACUUCUUGAAAAUAGUGACUUCUUUAAUUUUUAUUUCCAUAAUGCUUAAUGCACAGGAGACACGUAAAUUCUUAUUGAAGGGUUAGAUGAAAACCAAAACAGCAUAGAAACCCCAAGUAAGAGCCACAUGACAUGAAACUACAAGUCUUCCCAAAUCAAAACAAACUUAUCUAUGGUUCUCUCAUGUACUUCACUGUGCCAACUUUAUUGUAAAGCCUAUCUGUUUUAAGAAUGACUAUAAUUGCAUUUUCUGUUCUCAAAAGAUUUUCUCAUUACUUACAAGAAGCUGCCCUAAGCUUCUCAGCACACUGUGAAUUAUCUUUGUUUAGUCCUCUGGCAUCUUCUUGAGGAUCCCUCCUUUGAGGAACAAUUGCUAGUAGUUCUAAACUGGAGAGAUGAUUAAAAACAACAACAACACCCGGCUGAAGUAUAAAAUAAUUGAUGGGAUGACUACCUCCAAGAUUGGUUGUGAUGGGGAGGGGAGAAAGCUGGAAUUUUUAGAAAACUUAAUUGUAUUCUUUUACAAGAUUUAGCAAGCUGACAAAUGGCAUCAUUAUAGCAGAGUGUUGCAUUGAGCUCCAUUCACCCUUUAGAGCUGGCUAAGAGCCCUCUGUAGACAAUGGGCUGCAUAUAAGAAAUGCACAGAUGAGUUUAAUCAUAGGAGCUGCAUCUGGCCCAAGCAGAAAUCUCUUUCACAGUAAUUGGCAUAUAGUUAGGACUGGAGCAGCAGAUGUUGCUUUGCAGUUUGAAGAAUCUGAUCUACAAUCCAUUGAAAACAUGAGCCUUAACUGCAAUGGUUGGACCUUCAGUACAUGACCCAUUCAAAUAGAUUCUGAAGUUCUGGUCCUCUUUCAGGUUAGCCCACAUAUCUCUAGCAAGACAGGAAUCUGUGGUAAUGUGUUGCUCUUGGCCUUCAGGGCUUUUCAACAAAACAAAUUUGACAGACAAAGCUUACUUCUAUGUAAAUGUGGGUAGGGCAAGGGAGAUGUGGCUGGAUUAUCCCCUCUUCAUCUCUGAAUGAAUAAAAACUGAGUUCAGACAAAAAUAACACAUUUCCUGCAGCACAUUGGUUUUCUUCUCUCAUUUAGGAAAUGAACCAAACAAGUGGCAACAGAAAGUUUUCUUUGCUUUGGGGCAGUAAGUAGGAUUCCAAAGUGUUAACCUCACUGCGACAGAACCAUGGGGUCAGUAUUAAGGGAAAGAAUCACAGAAAGCUUUCAUACAGCCGACCUGCCAAUGGCUGGCAAAGCUUCUUAUGCCCACAUCUGAGCAAGUUAGAGAUCAUUUAUCCAGAAGACUGGUGUCAGACUCUAAAAUCCUCCCACCUCCCCACUAAAGUGAUGCCUUCAGUAUUCUCUCCCCAAUUCAUUAGAGCUAUUAAAGUUUAUUUUGAUAAACAAGAGUAAACUAUCUGAAAAAUAAAUGAAUAAAUCUUAACUAAUGGACAUAAUAAGCAAUCAAAUUCUCUCAUCCAACUCUUCAAAACUUUUUACUUCUCUAUUUAUAAUUUUUGCUUAAAUUUUUCCCCCAGAACUCUGAUCAUCCUUAUUCUAUAAAUGAGGUCCUAUAGACCAAACAUGUUAAGUGAUUAUCUCAUGACCACACAGAAAACUAGGAGCCAAACCAGAUCAAUAACUAUAUGUUUCCAAUCAAGUGUUUUUCUAACUUCUUCCUCAUUUCCCUCACCCAAAAUAAUCAACUUUCUCACAAGUUACAGAUAUCACAUGUUUUAUUCUAUGUAUUUCAUAGGUUUCUUUCUUUAAGAUGACAGAUUUGAA